GAGAAAGACGUGGCAGCAGCAGGGGGAAUGCGUUGGUGUGGAGUGGUGUGCGGAGUGAUUGGGCGUAAGGCGGGGGGAGGCGGUGUCGUAGGUCGGAUGGGAAAGCCGUCGGAUUAACCGGAGAAGUGCAUCGGAAAACAGGAGGCGGGAGUGCAGAAGAGGACAGGGGAACUCCAUGGGUAGCGGGGAAAUGCGUAGAUAUAUGGAAGAACACCAGUGGCGAAGGCGGCUGUCUGGUCUGUAACUGACGCUGAGGCUCGAAAGCAUGGGUAGCGAACAGGAUUAGAUACCCUGGUAGUC
rnacentral:rRNA from 1 species